GGAUUUCAUCAAAAAUAUCUUAAUUUGUGUUCUGAAGAUGAACGAAGGUCUUACGGGUUUGGAACGACAUGAGGGUGAGUAAUUAAUGCCAGAUAUUUCAUUUUUGGGUGAACUAACCCUUUAACUCAACGUCAUGUCAUCCAGGUUUGGAAUGACUUUUUUCUGUGGAUACAAUGAAAGUCAAUAAUGUCCAAAACAACGCCCCAAGUGAACGUUUAUUUUAUGGACCGAAAAGUCAUUUGAAAGGCAGUUUUUUUUUUUUGUUUUUUUUUUAAAUAAUCUUUUGUGUUUUAGAAAACAAAGAAAGUCAUAUGAGUUUGGAACAACAUGAGUACGGUGAGUAAAUGAUGAGUAAAUGAUUCUAGCUACACUAUAUAGUUUUUGACCUUUAAAAAAAUGACUACAGUUCUGAUGCAUGUUUCAGGGAGACUUCAAUGGGCCUGUAACUAUAAUGAGAUUUGGUUUCUGUGUCUUGCUUUCAGCUUCCUGUUUGUGUUGAGUUGGGUGUCCUGACAAAGCCUUUUACUGUAUGUGUGUUUUGGGAGUGGCUGUUGUGAGUCUCUCUUCUCUUUGUACGUUGACAGUUGGUGCAGCACAGCAUCUCUCACGCUGCGAGAUCCUUGUCUUUUUCUUCAGUUUUGAUCUGAUAGGCUGGUAUUUGUUACUCCCAGUGAUUUGUUGUCAUGUGAUGAAGAAAAUCGUGACUGCAUCAUGACCAAACAUGAUCUGUCGUCUCAACCACUCUCUACUUCACUAAAUGUCACUCAGUAUUUGCUUUGGAAACUUCAGCUCAAAGCCAUCUGACCUUUUUUGUUUCCCUUUUAGUCAGGAUUUUUCUUUCACAGAUGUUGUGCAUUGGUGGUGUUCAAUGGCUAUAGGCUGUGUUUAGUGAGCAUUUGUGGAUGUUUGACUGAACUCUUUGUGUUCUGCUAGAUAGGGUUUGUUCUGACUGAGACUGAAUAAUCUUUGUAGGAAAGAAUGUGUGUGUGUGUGUGUGUGUGCGCACCAGGGAGGCAUAAGGGAUGGAAAAGAGGUUUAUUUUAUGAUAUAGUGUUUCAUUUUGAGGACUAGAUAUUGAACUAGAGUUCCUCAGUGUAUUUGUGUUUAGUUAUACUUGAUACUUCCUUUUUUUUGCUAUAUUUUUAGAUUCUUUAGAAGGCGUAGAAGAGCAAAAAUUUGCAUUAAUGGCAUAUAGCAUAUUUAAAGCAAAUACAACAGACAAUGCAAAACAUGACAGUGCCAAAUUUAUGUGCAUGUAUAAAUACAUUAGCAAAUGCUACUACUGGAUAUGAAUGAAGGAAAAAACGACGCUUGACCUCUGUAUUGGCUCAGGGUUUUGUGAGGGUUAAACAAAGAGUAGGUUUUAGUAACAAGUGGAAUUAUAAA